rnacentral:rRNA from 1 species
CACGUAGGGGGCGAGCGUUGUUCGGAAUUACUGGGCGUAAAGGGCAUGUAGGCGGCCUUGUAAGCCUGGCGUGAAAUUCCACGGCUUAACCGUGGGAAUGCGUUGGGAACUGCAAGGCUUGAGUGACGGAGAGGGAGCUAGAAUUCCUGGUGUAGGGGUGGAAUCUGUAGAGAUCAGGAAGAAUACCAAUGGCGAAGGCAAGCUCCUGGCCGAUGACUGACGCUGAGGUGCGAAAGUGUGGGGAUCAAACAGG